UAAGGAAUAUUGGUCAAUGGGCGGAAGCCUGAACCAGCCAUGCCGCGUGCAGGAAGACGGCCCUACGGGUUGUAAACUGCUUUUAUACCGGAAUAAACCCCCGAUCGUGAUCGGGGCUGAAUGUACGGUAAGAAUAAGGAUCGGCUAACUCCGUGCCAGCAGCCGCGGUAAUACGGAGGAUCCAAGCGUUAUCCGGAUUUAUUGGGUUUAAAGGGUGCGUAGGCGGCCUAUUAAGUCAGGGGUGAAAGACGGUAGCUUAACUAUCGCAGUGCCCUUGAUACUGAUGGGCUUGAAUGUACUAGAGGUAGGCGGAAUGUGACAAGUAGCGGUGAAAUGCAUAGAUAUGUCACAGAACACCAAUUGCGAAGGCAGCUUACUAUGGUAUGAUUGACGCUGAGGCACGAAAGCGUGGGGAUCAAACA
rnacentral:rRNA from 1 species